GUUCCAGACUCCUACGGGAGGCAGCAGUGAGGAAUAUUGGUCAAUGGACGAGAGUCUGAACCAGCCAAGUCGCGUGAGGGAAGACUGCCCUAUGGGUUGUAAACCUCUUUUGUCAGGGAGCAACGCCGGCUACGUGUAGCCGGACUGAGAGUACCUGAAGAAAAAGCAUCGGCUAACUCCGUGCCAGCAGCCGCGGUAAUACGGAGGAUGCGAGCGUUAUCCGGAUUUAUUGGGUUUAAAGGGUGCGUAGGCGGGAUGCCAAGUCAGCGGUAAAAAUGCGGUGCUCAACGCCGUCGAGCCGUUGAAACUGGCGUUCUUGAGUGGGCGAGAAGUAUGCGGAAUGCGUGGUGUAGCGGUGAAAUGCAUAGAUAUCACGCAGAACUCCGAUUGCGAAGGCAGCAUACCGGCGCCCUACUGACGCUGAGGCACGAAAGCGUGGGUAUCGAACAGGAUUAGAUACCCGAGUA
rnacentral:rRNA from 1 species